rnacentral:rRNA from 1 species
AGUGAACGCUGGCGGUAGGCCUAACACAUGCAAGUCGAACGGCAGCACAGUAAGAGCUUGCUCUUACGGGUGGCGAGUGGCGGACGGGUGAGGAAUACAUCGGAAUCUACUUUUUCGUGGGGGAUAACGUAGGGAAACUUACGCUAAUACCGCAUACGACCUACGGGUGAAAGCAGGGGAUCUUCGGACCUUGCGCGAUUGAAUGGGCCGAUGUCGGAUUAGCUAGUUGGCGGGGUAAAGGCCCACCAAGGCGACGAUCCGUAGCUGGUCUGAGAGGAUGAUCAGCCACACUGGAACUGGGACACGGUCCAGACUCCUACGGGAGGCAGCAGUGGGGAAUAUUGGACAAUGGGCGCAAGCCUGAUCCAGCCAUACCGCGUGGGUGAAGAAGGCCUUCGGGUUGUAAAGCCCUUUUGUUGGGAAAGAAAAGCAGCAGGUUAAUACCCCGCUGUUCUGACGGUACCCAAAGAAUAAGCACCGGCUAACUUCGUG